rnacentral:lncRNA from 1 species
UUUUAUUUUUAAAUUUUUUUCCUGUUUAUUUUGUAUUGCUAAUGAAUUAGCAAAUGACAAACAUAAGAAUCUUUUCAAGCACAGCGGAAUAAGUAAAAUAUCCCCUUCAUUGAUAUAUUCAUAAUCAAACAUACAUUGUUCUUAGAGCUAGUUAAGUGGUAAGCAGUUAAUACAUACAUAGCAAUUAUAGUAGUUAAGUACAUAAUGUAGAUGACAGAAAGUAAAUGACAGAAUGUGAAAGACACAAGGGAUUUUAAGUGGUUCAGAGACUCAAGCUCCUAAUCCACUCAUCUGCUUUAACUAGCAGGAAUUCCAAUAAGGAAAGACGGCACCCUGAAUCACUAAGAUUCCUUCAAAGCCAACAGCCUUGGAACUUCAGUUCACUAAGAACUCUUCAAGCUCAGCAGGCUCGGAACUCCUCUAGUUCCCUAGGAACUCUUCAAGCCCAG